GACCCGCACAAGCGGUGGAUGAUGUGGAUUAAUUCGAUGCAACGCGAAAAACCUUACCUACCCUUGACAUGUCUGGAAUGCCGAAGAGAUUUGGCAGUGCUCGCAAGAGAACCGGAACACAGGUGCUGCAUGGCUGUCGUCAGCUCGUGUCGUGAGAUGUUGGGUUAAGUCCCGCAACGAGCGCAACCCUUGUCAUUAGUUGCUACGCAAGAGCACUCUAAUGAGACUGCCGGUGACAAACCGGAGGAAGGUGGGGAUGACGUCAAGUCCUCAUGGCCCUUAUGGGUAGGGCUUCACACGUCAUACAAUGGUCGGGACAGAGGGUCGCCAACCCGCGAGGGGGAGCCAAUCUCAGAAACCCGAUCGUAGUCCGGAUCGCAGUCUGCAACUCGACUGCGUGAAGUCGGAAUCGCUAGUAAUCGCGGAUCGGAAUGUCGCGGUGAAUACGUUCCCGGGUCUUGUACACACCGCCCGUCACACCAUGGGAGUGGGUUUCACCAGAAGUAGGUAGCCUAACCGUAAGGAGGGCGCUUACCACGGUGGGAUUCAUGACUGGG
rnacentral:rRNA from 1 species